rnacentral:lncRNA from 1 species
AGGAUUUCAGUUCUACUGUUAAAUCACUGAAAAGCAGGCAUUCUGAAGAAAGAGCAGGAGUCAGCACAUCUUAGCUGAGGCUUGGAACCCAGUCUUCGGAAUUAAAUGGCUAGCUUCUUAAAACCCUGCCACAAGCAACAGUGCCAGGUUUACAUAAACAUAUUGGUAUUUUUAUCUGGAUACAAGAUUUUUUACCCAAAGCAGUAAGGACCAUGACUGGCCUAAGGGUGAUGUCUUCAAGUGUAAAGAUGCCAUGAGAGUGUGAGAGCUGGAGGAUGGGAAAGAAUGCUGUGAAAUGCUCUCUUCUGAACAUGCUACACCUACCACACCCAUGAACUCACUCAUGAACUCAGCAGCCGGGAAGACCAGCACAAGACCUACACAUGAACAAGCCAGUCAAACUUCCAGCACAGGCAGGAUGGUGGACUGCCACACCCCACCCCUUACUGAGAAGGCAAUGGCAGCUCAUACUUGCUAGGGGUGGGGAUAAUCUUUUUCAUGUGGAUGUGGUCAUGGGUAGACUCUCCUUGUUCCCAGAGAAGAUUCCACACUCACGCCUAUAGAAACAGCAUUAACUGGACUUUGUGAGCUAUAAAAAAUUAAAAAGGAAUAACAAAAAAAAACAGAUAAAGUUGGGAUAGAAAUGUGUUGAAGAGGAUAUGGGCAGAGUUGGAGGAGGUAAUAGAGGGUAAAUAUGACAUAUUUCAUUGUAUGUUUAUAUAAAAUUCUCAACAACAAACAAUUUUUUUAAGACUUAAC